GCUUCUUCGAGGGACAGUCCGCCCCUUGGGAUUCUGCAAAGAAGGAAGAGAAUCGCAUGAAGAAUCGCUACGGAAACAUCAUUGCAUAUGAUCACUCCCGCGUACGUCUGCAGGCCCUGGAGGGGGAGCAGGGUUCUGAUUACAUUAAUGCAAAUUACGUUGAUGGCUACCACACGCCAAACCACUACAUCGCAACCCAAGGUAAGAGUGUGUGU